UUGGUGAUUACUGGGACACUGC
rnacentral:siRNA from 1 species